GCCAGGCCUCAUAGCAUGUGCCUGUAGUCCCAGCUGCUCAGGAAGCUGAGAUAGGAGGAUUGCGCAAGCCCCCGAGCUCUGGCUGUAGUGUGCUGUGCCAAUUGGUGGAUGUCCACACUAAGUUCAGCAUCAAUACAGUGACCUCCUGGGAGUGGGGGACCACAAGUUUUCUAAGGAGGGGUGAGCCAGCCUGGGUGGAAAACAGAGCAGGUCAAAUUUCCCAUGCUGAUGAGUAAUAAAUCACGCCUAUGAAUAGCCACUGCACUCCAGCCUGGGCAACAUAGCAAGACCCUGUCUCCU
ensembl:misc_RNA Metazoa_SRP Metazoan signal recognition particle RNA